AUGUUCGCCUACUUCAGCAAGGCCCUGGGGGUGUGCAACCAGCAACUGUCGACGUACGAGAAGGAGUUUCUGGCGGUGAUGAUGGCGAUCGACAAAUGGCGGCUGUACCUGCAGCGCGGCCCCUUCGACAUCCUCACGGACCACAAGUCCCUCUUCAACCUGGGUGAACAGCACCCGGAGACCGAGCUGCAAUGCAAGGCCAUGGCGAAACUGGUGGGACUGCAAUUCCGGUUUCAGUACAAGCGGGGCCUAGACAAUGGAGCCGCCGAUGCCUUGUUCCACGUCGGCAAGCAGCUCGACCUGGCCACGCUCUCGACGUGCCAGCCGGCCUCGAUCCAUGAAGUGCUCAACUCCUACUCCACGGACCAAGAUGCACAAGAUCGCCUUCAGAAGCUCGCCCUAGCCAGCCCGGACGAUGACGGCUACGAGCUGCAUCGUGGGGUCAUUCGCCGCCAAGGUCGUCUGUGGAUCGGCGCCAAUGCCGCGCUCCGCACCAAGCUCAUCGCCGCGCUCCACAACAGCGCGGUGGGUAGCCACUCCGGCGUCACAGCGACGACAAGCGGGUGCGCAAGCAUUUCGAGUGGCGCGGUCUGA
rnacentral:rRNA from 1 species